rnacentral:rRNA from 1 species
AUGAGAAUCAAAACUACCUUCUUUAACAGAACGAGGUGUAUUGUCGGUAAUGGCAGCAACACUAGAUUCUGGGAGGAUACGUGGCUUGGUGACACGCCUUUGGCGACCCAGUAUCCGUCUCUUUAUCGUAUUGUUCAGCGUCGUGAGGCUCUUGUUGCCACGGUUAUGCAGUCCAUUCCACUCAACAUUCAGUUUAGGAGGGUGCUCGUGGGUGAUCGAUGGGAAGCAUGGCUUCACCUAGUCCGUAGACUGAUGGAGGUUCAGUUAACCCCUCAGCCCGAUAAGUUGUGUUGGAAGCUUACUAGAUCUGGGGAGUUC